rnacentral:rRNA from 1 species
GGCCAGACUCCUACGGGAGGCAGCAGUGGGGGAUAUUGCACAAUGGGGGAAACCCUGAUGCAGCGACGCCGCGUGUGGGAAGACGGUCCUCUGGAUUGUAAACCACUGUCCCCAGGGACGAAAAUGACGGUACCUGACUAAGAAGCCCCGGCUAACUACGUGCCAGCAGCCGCGGUAAUACGUAGGGGGCAAGCGUUAUCCGGAAUUACUGGGUGUAAAGGGAGCGCAGACGGCAGUGCAAGUCUGGAGUGAAAGCCCGUGGCUUAACUACGGGACUGCUCUGGAAACUGUGCAGCUAGAGUGCAGGAGAGGCAGGCGGAAUUCCUAGUGUAGCGGUGAAAUGCGUAGAUAUUAGGAGGAACACCGGUGGCGAAGGCGGCCUGCUGGACUGUAACUGACGUUGAGGCUCGAAAGCGUGGGGAGCAAACAGGAUUAGAUACCCUCGUA